UGAAGGUUCUGGAAAGGGACCUUGCGCCACGCUGAGUGGGAACCACUACACGUUGAUCACUAAUCGAUGCGAGAGGGAACAUAGGCCAUUACCACUACCAUUACCACAAACAGUUCUGCACUCGAGUCUCCAUCAGUGAACAGUGGAGACGUUCCACUAACCCUAACCCUAGUAUAGGUGGUGUUGGAGGUUGUUAAUGUUAGUGCCUGUGAUGUUGGAGGUUGUUAAUGUUAGUGUCUGUGGUGUUGGAGGUUGUUAAUGUUAGUGUCUGUUGUGUUGGAGGAGGUUGUUAAUGUUAGUGUCUGUGGUGUUGGAGGAGGUUGUUAAUGUUAGUGUGUGUGGUGUUGGAGGUUGUUAAUGUUAGUGUCUGUGGUGUUGGAGGUUGUUAAUGUUAGUGUCUGUGGAGUUGGAGGUUGUUAAUGUUAGUGUGUGUGGUGUUGGAGGUUGUUAAUGUUAGUGUCUGUGGUGUUGAAGGAGGUUUUUAAUGUUAGUGCCUGUGGUGCUGGAGGUUGUUAAUGUUAGUGUGUGUGGUGUUGGAGGUUGUUAAUGUUAGUGUCUGUGGUGUUGGAGGAGGUUGUUAAUGUUAGUGUCUGUGGUGUUGGAGGUUGUUAAUGUUAGUGUCUGUGGUGUUGGAGGUUGUUAAUUUUAGUGUGUGUGGUGUUGGAGGUUGUUAAUGUUAGUGUCUGUGGUGUUGGAGGUUGUUAAUGUUAGUGUGUGUGGUGUUGGAGGUUGUUAAUGUUAGUGUCUGUGGUGUUGGAGGAGGUUGUUAAUGUUAGUGUCUGUGGUGUUGGAGGUGGUUAAUGUUAGUGUCUGUGGUGUUGGAGGAGGUUGUUAAUGUUAGUGUCUGUGGUGUUGGAGGUUGUUAAUGUUAGUGUGUGUGGUGUUGGAGGUUGUUAAUGUUAGUGUGUGUGGUGUUGGAGGUUGUUAAUGUUAGUGUCUGUGGUGUUGGAGGUUGUUAAUGUUAGUGUGUGUGGUGUUGGAGGUUGUUAAUGUUAGUGUCUGUGGUGUUGGAGGAGGUUGUUAAUGUUAGUGUCUGUGGUGUUGGAGGUUGUUAAUGUUAGUGUCUGUGGUGUUGGAGGUUGUUAAUGUUAGUGUGUGUGGUGUUGGAGGUUGUUAAUGUUACUGUCUGUGGUGUUGGAGGAGGUUGUUAAUGUUAGUGUCUGUGGUGUUGGAGGUUGUUAAUGUUAGUGUCUGUGGUGCUGGAGGUUGUUAAUGUUAGUGUCUGUGGUGUUGGACGUUGUUAAUGUUAGUGUCUGUGGUGUUGGAGGAGGUUGUUACUGUUAGUGUCUGUGGUGUUGGAGGUUGUUACUGUUAGUGUCUGUGGUGUUGGAGGUUGUUAAUGUUAGUGUCUGUGGUGUUGGAGGAGGUUGUUAAUGUUAGUGUCUGUGGUGUUGGAGGUUGUUAAUGUUAGUGUCUGUGGUGUCGGAGGAGGUUGUUACUGUUAGUGUCUGUGGUGUUGGAAUGGUUGAGAAGGUUAAGAGGGCAGUGCUUUCAUUAACUGUGGAGGAAUCUUUAUCUUUAUUGGAGAUUAUUCUGUUCCCCUGUUUAUAUGUUUCUGUAAAGCUG
ensembl:lncRNA